rnacentral:rRNA from 1 species
UGCGCAGGCGGACUCGUCAGUGUCUUGUGAAAUCCCAUGGCUCAACCAUGGAACUGCAGGGCAUACUGCGAGUCUUGAACCCGACAGGGGCAACCGGAACUCUAGGUGGAGCGGUGAAAUGCGUAGAUAUCUAGAGGAACGCCAAAGGCGAAGGCAGGUUGCUGGGUCGGUGUUGACGCUCAGGCACGAAAGCGUGGGUAGCGAACG